UCCCUAGUGUCUCAGAGAAUAAAGAAUCUGCCUGCAGUGCAGGAGACCUAGGUUCAAUCCCUGGGUUGGGAA
rnacentral:tRNA from 1 species